rnacentral:rRNA from 1 species
GACGAACGCUGGCGGCGUGCUUAACACAUGCAAGUCGAACGAUGAAGCUGGGGCUUGCUCCAGUGGAUUAGUGGCGAACGGGUGAGUAACACGUGAGCAAUCUGCCCUUGACUCUGGGAUAACUGCGGGAAACUGUAGCUAAUACCGGAUACGACACCUUGGGGCAUCCCGGGGUGUGGAAAGAAUUUCGGUCAAGGAUGAGCUCGCGGCCUAUCAGCUUGUUGGUGAGGUAAAGGCUCACCAAGGCGACGACGGGUAGCCGGCCUGAGAGGGUGACCGGCCACACUGGAACGGAGACACGGGCCAGACUCCGACGGGAGGCAGCAGUGGGGAAUAUUGCACAAUGGGCGCAAGCCUGAUGCAGCAACGCCGCGUGAGGGAUGACGGCCUUCGGGUUGUAAACCUCUUUUAGUAGGGAAGAAGCGAAAGUGACGGUACCUGCAGAAAAAGCACCGGCUAACUACGUGCCAGCCGCCGCCGUAA